CUCCGGUGAAGGUCCGGUCAUAGCUGGCGCCUACGUGGCAAUACAGAGCUGAUAUGGCGCCUACGUGGUAAUACCGAGCUGAUGUGGCGCCUACUUGGAAAAAAAAAACAAAAAAUAGUCCCUCUUCGGCUUACCACCUUCGGAGUCUCUCUUCUCUUCCGGCGACUGCACCGCUGCCGCUCUGCCCCCCCUUUCUCUCGCCCUCUGCCUCAC
rnacentral:lncRNA from 1 species